CCUGUCUCAGCUCCACUUGAUCACGCAGGCCCAGUGCAUACUUGGCAUAUUUUAGAGACAGGAACACUCUCCUAAUGUUGUAAUGCACAACAUACCCAAAAUGGCCUCUCUGUUUCUAGGAGUGUGACAGUU
rnacentral:snoRNA from 1 species